rnacentral:tRNA from 1 species
UGUAUUUUAAUGUAUAUGCAUAAAAAAUUUUGAUUUUUUUAGGUUUAAGUUUUUACUUAAUAAAUACAA